rnacentral:rRNA from 1 species
AACGUAGGAGACAAACGUUAUCCGGAGUUACUGGGCGUAAAGGGCGUGUAGGUGGUUUCGUAAGUCUGGCGUGAAAUUUCUCGGCUUAACCGAGGCAGGUCGUCGGAUACUGCGGAACUUGAGGACGGUAGAGGCGUGUGGAAUUCCGGGUGUAGUGGUGAAAUGCGUAGAGAUCCGGAGGAACACCAGUGGCGAAGGCGACACGCUGGGCCGUACCGUGACACUGAUGCGCGACAGCAUGGGGA